rnacentral:rRNA from 1 species
GAUGAACGCUGGCGGCGUGCCUAAUACAUGCCAGUCGAGCGAACGGACGAGAAGCUUGCUUCUCUGAUGUUAGCGGCGGACGGGUGAGUAACACGUGGAUAACCUACCUAUAAGACUGGGAAACUUCGGGAAACCGGAGCUAAUACCGGAUAAUAUUUUGAACCGCAUGGUUCAAAAGUGAAAGACGGUCUUGCUGUCACUUAUAGAUGGAUCCGCGCUGCAUUAGCUAGUUGGUAAGGUAACGGCUUACCAAGGCAACGAUGCAUAGCCGACCUGAGAGGGUGAUCGGCCACACUGGAACUGAGACACGGUCCAGACUCCUACGGGAGGCAGCAGUAGGGAAUCUUCCGCAAUGGGCGAAAGCCUGACGGAGCAACGCCGCGUGAGUGAUGAAGGUCUUCGGAUCGUAAAACUCUGUUAUUAGGGAAGAACAUAUGUGUAAGUAACUGUGCACAUCUUGACGGUACCUAAUCAGAAAGCCACGGCUAACUACGUG